rnacentral:tRNA from 1 species
UGCGGGGUAGAGCAGUGGUAGCUCGUCGGGCUCAUAACCCGGAGGUCGCAGGUUCGAAUCCUGCCCCCGCUACCA